rnacentral:tRNA from 1 species
UCGAAAUAUAACGCAGCGGUAGCGUGUCUGCUUUGGGAGCAGAAAGUCAUGUGUUCGAAUCACAUUAUUUCGAU